UACAGAGGAGCCAAGCGUUGUCCGGAUUGACUGGGCGUAAAGCGCACGCAGGCGGUUGCGCGCGUGGGGUGUGAAAUCUGGCCGCUUAACGGCCAGGCGCCAUCCCAUACGGCGCGACUGGAGUGAUGCAGAGGUCGAUGGAAUUGCCGGUGUAGUGGUGAAAUGCGUAGAGAUCGGCAGGAACACCCAGGGGGAAACCAGUCGACUGGACAUCUACUGACGCUGAGGCGCGAAAGCCAGGGGAGCGAACGGG
rnacentral:rRNA from 1 species